CAGGCCUAACACAUGCAAGUCGAGCGGUAACAGGGAUAGCUUGCUAUCUGCUGACGAGCGGCGGACGGGUGCGUAACGCGUAGGAAUUUGCCCGAUAGUGGGGGAUAGCCCGGAGAAAUUCGGAUUAAUACCGCAUACCUUCUACGGAAGAAAGCAGGGGAUCUUCGGACCUUGCGCUAUCGGAUGAGCCUGCGUCGGAUUAGCUAGUUGGUAGGGUAAAUGCCUACCAAGGCGACGAUCCGUAGCUGGUCUGAGAGGAUGAUCAGCCACACUAGGACUGAGACACGGCCCAGACUCCUACGGGAGGCAGCAGUGGGGAAUAUUGCACAAUGGGCGCAAGCCUGAUGCAGCCAUGCCGCGUGUGUGAAGAAGGCCCUAGGGUUGUAAAGCACUUUCAGCGAGGAGGAAGGGUAUCUUGCUAAUAUCAAGGUACAUUGACGUUACUCGCAGAAGAAGCACCGGCUAACUCCGUGCCAGCAGCCGCGGUAAUACGGAGGGUGCAAGCGUUAAUCGGAAUUACUGGGCGUAAAGCGUGCGUAGGCGGUUAAAUAAGUUGGAUGUGAAAGCCCUGGGCUCAACCUAGGAACUGCACCCAAAACUGUUUAACUAGAGUACGAGAGAGGAGUGUGGAAUUUCCUGUGUAGCGGUGGAAUGCGUAGAUAUAGGAAGGAACACCAGUGGCGAAGGCGGCACUCUGGCUCGAUACUGACGCUGAGGUACGAAAGCAUGGGUAGCAAACAGGAUUAGAUA
rnacentral:rRNA from 1 species